rnacentral:misc_RNA from 1 species
AACUUAUCAAAUUUAAUUUUAAAUAAUCUCUAACUAGUAUAUUUAAAAAAGUGAUUUUCUCAACAGCAGUUUCAACAGUAAUGCCAAACAGACCCUAAAUUAUACCUUAUAAUAUAUAUUUAAGUGUUUCUUGACAGUUAAUGAGGAAACUUAGCUACUAGAAUGUUGUGCAGUUUAGGAGACUAAUAAUGUAAACGCCUAUAUAUGAAAGUAAAUCAUAUAUUGACCUUUGGAAAGACAAUCAGGCAUUCUUAUCGUACAAUUCAAUUUAUAAUCAGCUUUGAGUUAUUCUGUUUACUUUUUUAUUUUUCUAUUAGCUAUUUCAGAAUCUUCAGGAAGAAGUUUUAGAAGACCACUGGUGCAAAUAUGUUGAAGGCAUUUUCUUCCCUUGAAUUUCUUAGUUUUAUCUAUGA